AUUUUCCCUUUUUGUUGUUGGGGGUGACUUCUUCCCAGGCAUGUUAUUCUUGACCCCCCGGGGCAAACGGAGGUGUCAGCGUCAGGAGCCAUCCUAACUGAGGCCCUGGGAGGUCAGUGCUUUUUGUGUGACUGGACGGUGAAGCCGUCUGUGGGAAUGACCUGGCUACGGCUCAGUGUAGUCCUAACUAAGGUGUCUUUUACUCCGUGUUCCCAGGCUCCCUCUUUCCCUUCGGUCGCCGUGGGUGUGCCGGACGCCUCUGGCAGGACUAACCCUGUGGCUUUUAUGUCCAACGUGCUGUGCUGUGUGUGCCUGCAGACAAAGCUACCUUUCCUCGUGGGAACGGACUGGCCGGGCUUUGGCAAUCUGGCCCCUCGAAAGACUAAAGUGACCUCUUCCAACAGGGGAAGACUUUCUGGCCAGCGGUGCCAGAAAGAACUGGAGUUUCUGGAGCAUAAAAGCUGGAAGCGUGCCCCUGAAAAUCCCCAGCCCUGGGUGGUCAGUGGUCUGACUUGCACGGACCGGUGGCCUUGGCCAGGAGCGGUCCUGCGGGAAGCACCUUUGCCCAGGCUGUAAUUUUAAUUUCCCUUGGAUGCUUGGCAGAGCCCCUCUGGGUGAGCCCCAGUGCCUGGCAGGAGCAGAGCGGGCUUCCAGGGAGGUAUUCACCUGGUCAGCGUCAGGAACCGUCCUACCUGAGGCCUCGGCUCCCUCUUUUCCUUCGGUCGCUGUGGGUGUGCCGGACGCCUCUGGCAGGACUAACCCUGUGGCUUUUAUUCCAACGUGCCUGCAGGUCAUAUUUAUCUGCCUGUCAGAACUCUUGGAGCACUGGAUGGAGAGCAGGUCCUAUGAAGAGGAUUAUGGAGUAAAAGGCAGCUUGUACUUAAGUGCAGGGUGGUUGGUGUUUCUGCAGUGUUUGGCACAGGACUGGACUGAAUGCACUCCCUUUAUUCACCUUUUCAGAGAGUAUCAUCCAGAAUACGAGCGCCUGAGAAAAACACUGGUAAGUGUUUUUAGCUGUUUUACACCUGAACAGUGUAUCUUGGGACACUUUUAUGCACACAAUUGCCUUUAUGUUGAGAGGGUCUAAGUUCCUGUGGGAUUGGUCACACUCAGCUCUUCCUGUGUCACAGGUUUGGAAGAAACCCCGCUGUGUAGCUAAAGCAGUGGACCUACUAGAAAUAAUGAAAUACUUUAGAAAAGGCGAAACAGUCAGAUCAGAAUAUGAGAAAGCUCUGCUGUUGGCUGCACUGUUCCUUAGAUGAGGCGAGUAGGUGCUGAUGGAGUCUGUCCUGUGUCUGGGAUCCACAAGCAGCUUUCUAUCCCCUUAGAGCAGGUGUUCAUUGCUGGGUUUCUGUGCAGACAGAAGUUGUCAGUGCACACACUCCCUUACCUUCAGCAAGCUGGUUUGUGUACAGCCGUUUCUGUUCCCUUCAAGGACCUGAUGCUUCUGCAAUGGGUCCCUCUGAGCUAAUACUAACACGAGGAACUCUCGAUGAAGAGCAAGAAGAGAGGGAGGGUGACGCUGAUGGCAUUGACCAUGAAGGUAAGGGAAUGAGGUCUAAAAGCUGCCUCUCAAGAAAUCCCCUCUGUAUUUCAUGACCUGGAUGGACUGUAAGGAGAGCUUAGAAAACAAGCAAACAUUCAGUCACCUGACGUGUCAGAAUCUGUAGCAGAAGCUCAGCUGCAAUGGUCAGUGCAGGGAUAUCACUCUGUAACCUUUGUGAAAGUUCAAUUGUAAAUUUUCUAUUCAGGUACUUAAUAGGUGUAUAACACACAUAAACCAGAGAACUUGUUAGGCUUGGGGCAUGCAGUGACCUCUGAACCUGUUUGAUGCACAGAUGUGUCCAUCAUCUUUUUGGCCUUACAGUUUCUGCCCCUGGCUCUCUUCCCUUUUCCUGUGACUGUGGUCUUGGAGCAAUGUUCUAAGUUGUUACAGUGUGAUUUUUCUCUUAUAUAGCUCACAGACUUAAUCUUCAUUCUUUCCCUGUUUCACUGAUGGGUAGGAUCACUUAUUUCCUUUGCCCUAUAAUGUAGUUGAAGAUGGAAUAGACUUUCUAUGUUGCUUUGGCUAUCCUGAUUCUAGCUUU
ensembl:lncRNA